rnacentral:rRNA from 1 species
UACAGAGGAGCCAAGCGUUGUCCGGAUUGACUGGGCGUAAAGCGAGCGUAGUCGGUUAUUUAAGUCGGGUGUGAAAGCCCCGGGCUCAACCUGGGAAUUGCAUUCGAUACUGGAUAGCUAGAGUUCGGCAGAGGGAAGCGGAAUUUCCGGUGUAGCGGUGAAAUGCGUAGAUAUCGGAAGGAACAUCAGUGGCGAAAGCGGCUUCCUGGACCAGAACUGACGAUCAGGCUCGAAAGCGUGGGGAGCAAACAGG